rnacentral:rRNA from 1 species
CAGCAAUGGAUCUUAGUGGCGAACGGGUGAGUAACGCGUAGGCAAUCUGCCUUCUAGAUGGGGACAACAUCCCGAAAGGGGUGCUAAUACCGAAUGUUGUACCGUUUCCGCAUGGAGAUGAUACUAAAGGUGGCCUCUGAAUAUGCUACCGCUAGAAGAUGAGCCUGCGUCUGAUUAGCUAGUUGGAGGGGUAACGGCCCACCAAGGCUUCGAUCAGUAGCCGGUCUGAGAGGAUGAACGGCCACACUGGGACUGAGACACGGCCCAGACUCCUACGGGAGGCAGCAGUGGGGAAUCUUCCGCAAUGGACGAAAGUCUGACGGAGCAACGCCGCGUGAGUGAAGAAGGUUUUCGGAUCGUAAAGCUCUUUCGUUAGGGACGAACGUGCUCUUUGUGAAUAAUGAGGAGUAAUGACGGUACCUAAAUAAGAAGCCACGGCUAACUACGUGCCAGCAGCCGCGGUAAUACGUAGGUGGCAAGCGUUGUCCGGAAUUAUUGGGCGUAAAGCGCGCGCA